GCGGGCGUGGCUUAGUGGUAAAGCGUCUCCUUCCCAAGGAGAAGAUCGCGGGUUCGAAUCCCGUCGCCCGCUCCA
rnacentral:tRNA from 7 species